UCUAAAUUAAAAAAAAAAAAUCAUAUCAAGUCAUAAUUUCUCAAAAAGUUCAAAUCUUUUUACAGCAAAAUUGGUAACAAAUGAGAUCUUUGUUCAAAUUUUCUUGCUUCCGUAGAGACUUUUUUGUUGGCAUUGCGCUAACCAUGAAAUUUGAUGCGGCAUCGAAGGAAUUACAUUGAGCUCACUCUUAUCACCGAUGGUGAAAGUAAGAAGGAUGCAACAGUAUGCAAAUGGAGAUCCUAUGUGAUUGCAAAAUAUUAGCUAAGUUGAAGGGGAAAUUUUACAAGACCACACUUCAACUUGCUAUGAUGUAUUUUAAAGAGUAUUGGCAGUAGUGGUGAUGAAGAAACAUAUACGCAAGACCAGCAAAUGCAUCAAAUGGAAGGUUGAGCAUGUUGAAAAGGCAAGAGGGACAUUCCUAGGAUGAUGAUGGGGAAUGUAAGGAUUUGCUGGCCUUAGAUGCUUUGGAAAAUGUAGUCGUAGUAUUUAUUUCAACUAUUUGAGAAUUUGGAGUAUUAGUAUUCAAACAAUAUCUAGCUUUCCUAACAUGACAUGCAUUUGUUCUUAGUAAAUGCAUCAUUAAAAUUUUUUCUUGCCAAACAAGGGCACUGUUGAUGUAAACAUUAACAUUUUGUCUACACAAUAGAGUUUCUCAUUGUGUUUUGUGAAAUUUCCAUCAGUAAAUUUAUUGGAGUAAACAUUUUAUUUCUUUAUCAAUGGAAUAAAAUCUAGAUGUCAGUUGAGGUAUUUUAAUAUCAUCAUUAGAAUCUAGACCAAACACAACUUUUAUUAUAGACUUCAAGAUAAAGAUUUUCACAUAGGGGACGCUCAUUUCGUUGACUACUGUAUUAGAUCACCUCUUUCAUGGGCAGUUGACACUUGAUCUCAGAGGUAUGAUUUAACGCUUGAAAUUAUUCUCUUUUCUUACAUUCUUAUCAUAAAAAAUGUUUAACAGCUUACAUGUUAUUCUUUCUCUACACUAAUAAAAUGUUUGAUUCGAGGUGCUUUCACUAAGUAAGUCACCUUCUGAUUGCUUUCUGAUUCGAGCAGAACUUGCUCUUUGCGUCACAAAAGCAGCACCAAAGUAGCAAUAUCUCUAAGUUAGGCAACCAUAUGCUAUCAGAGGUUAAGGCAGCUUCGCAGCAGUUGUAAGGGCCCUUUGGUUUAGUUCUAAAAUGUCAAAGAGUGUCAUGAGAAAGGUAUUGCCUUUUGAAAGAUUCUCUGGCCAGGUGCAAGUAUUGCCAAAGGGUCAUAGGCAGAUUUUCUUUGGGCAAAAACUUUCCAUUGUGGGCCAAAAUGGGCUUUCCACUCUUCCUGUGAAGUAUAGUGGGGCAGAUAUUGCUUGAAACCAAGACGUGCUGUGUCACAAAAUUCUAGAAUUCGCCUGUUCUGAGUUAGGAUAUGUUUUAAACCAUCAGUCCCUGUGGAAGAGGGAACGGCAGAGGAAAGGAAUGCCACUAAGUAAAAAAUAUCCUCUUCUGGAAUAACAACAGAAGUUCUGUUGUCCCACCUGAAAUUGGAAUUUGGAAUUCAUGAAUUAAUCAGUCGACAGCAGAAACUAGAAUAAUUUACAGAAACAAAAUGACGUUCUUUUGUUGAGCAGUUACUUUGAUUUGUUAACCGGGUAAAUGAGGAUGGGCCCAUUGCUGGUGUCUGUAAGGAUAUUGCCAAAGACUUCUUCAGCAAAAUUGUGUAUUUUGCUUUUGGGGACAAGAAGAUUUAGCCAUGGAUGCGGAACUUCCCACAAGCCUUUGGACCGUAGUUUGACCUCAGACACAUGAACCCUAUCCAAGAACUCGAUGUAUGGAACUUCUGAUAGAAAAAGUGUUGAUGGGAUAUAUCUUAAUUGGGACAACAAAUUCAUAAUUUCCUGCAUGGUAAAACACAUGGUGACAUUUUAUUUAUCUUUUAGGUAAGUAUUAUUUAUUUAUUAAUCAAUUAAGUUUAGUGGGCCAUUGCUUCUAACCUCAUUUAAUUUAUCUGUCUUGUCCUUCUUGAAAUAUUUGGCCAAUUCCAAGCAAAAUAGAGUUCUUCCAUCUGAUUCGAACUGGCUAGCUUGUAAUGGAUCUUGAGGAUUAAAGGAUGACCUCCAGUUAUUUAAGAGACCAGUCCUGUUAAUUAUCACAAAUCCUUCAAUGUAGUCGAAUGUGUUUUCUGCUGAUAUUAAACUCUCCUGGUCUCUAGCAAAUGUGUUGAAGUCUGAGUAGAGAACUCUAAUCCAUUUCACCUGCGCAAAAUACACAAUUCUGUUAUUACAACUGAAACUUUCAACUGUAAGCGGAUAACAUUUCCUUUUCUUGCUCUGAUUUAAUUUGUCCAGGGAUCAUGCUUUUACCAUAUCAGGUGCUGGCUCCAGUGAUAUUCUUGCCCUUGUUAUGAUGCCAAACUGACCAAGACCUCCAAGAACACCGUGGAAUAGAUUAUGCCCAAUGGCGGAAAUAAGUUUUAAUGGACCAAGGUCUAGCACAACUUGCAUGAACUUGCAUGAGUGGGAAACCUGCCAAUGUCAUGCAUGUUUGUCUGCUUGAUCUUUGGUCUCUUCGCUCAUGGUACAAUUUAUCACCACUGUUUAUGUAUGUAUAUAUUAUCAACACCUAUAAAUGCCUCCGAUUUAUUGUAACUGACCUGUAAUAACUUCCAGCUGAUGGACGUUACUUAUUUGAGGGCCAUGCCGAAAUGCCUGCCCACUGACCCCAGCAUUGGACAAAGUGCCACCAACAGUUAAAUGUAGGUAGUCUGUCCAUGAUUUUGGUGCUAACCCAUGUUUCAGGCUUUCACGCAGGAUAUUUAUCCAUAACUCGCCUCCAGAGACAUCCACAUAGGGAUGUUUUCCAGCAUGAACUUGCAUUUUAGGACCCUGGAGAGAUUCCAUAUUGAUGACAACUCCACGGUGGGCUUGUGCCUGACCAUGAAGAGAGUGGCCAUGGCCUCUAGCUGCAACUGUGAGGUCUGAAUGAGGACCCAUCUGCCAAAUAUGUUUUAUGGUAGUGGCAAUGUCAGAAACGGACCUCGGAUGUAGUACCGCGAAAGGGAGCAACUGAAACCUGUUGCCAAAGUCUUUGGCUGCAUAGUGGAGAUCAUCAAAGGUAAAAUGGCCUUGAACAGAAAGUGUUUUCAGUGAAGAAGGAUUGCCAGAGAAACAGAGGUUUAUUCUUACGGUCAUGCAGCUGAGGAGCAAGAUCAUGAAACCCCUUAUGAAAAGCAUGUUAUUUAGUUUAUGGGAGCUGAUGGGUAGGAAUCUCAUGGUUGAGCUGGAAAAGUUGGGAAGAGCUGAGAGCAGAAGGUGUUUGUUUAAGCUUUGGUAUUAGUUUGAUGUUUAUUUGGGAGCAAAAGCAAGGGAUAGGUGGGGGUGGAAGAGUAUAGAAAUGAAGGGGUUGAGGAGAGAAUUUAAAGGUGAGGAUUUUGGGGUGGCCGAGUCAACCAAGAUUCAGUUGUUAAAAUCCGUAUGAAGACUGCCUACUUGGGAUGGAAAGAGUUUUAGAAAGUUUUACCUUAGGUUUAAUUGGAGUGCUUUUGUUUUUUAUUUUAUUUUAUUUUUGUAAGAGAAAGGGAAGCUAUCACUUAUACGAAGUUGAAUAGGAAAAAGUCGCAAGAUAGAAAGAAAGAAAGAUUUGUGAAAUCUUUUACACUUUUUCCAAACAGUUGCAACCACAAUGAGGACCUUUUCUACCAAAGACAAACAUGUCUCGGAAGUUUUUAUCCUCAGCCAUGUUAAGGAGAGUCGUCCUAUUUUUAGACAAGAAAAGAAAAGAAAAGAAAAGUAGAUGGCUUUGGGGCAGUAGGCGUAUCUCUCUGCCUCCAGUGUCUGUCAGAAUGCCUGUGCCUGUGGUGUGGGGGUCUCAAUGGGUCCAUGCUACACGUGAAAUUCAAAUGCCUGUGUGCUUUAUGGGGUGAAGGGUUAUGAUUGGCUAUGUUGGGACCCCUUUCUUUCUUUGUCGAAGGGUAAGAAGAGUUGGAGCAGUAGGAGUGGAGAUGGGGAUGACAGCUCGGAGGAGGCACUGAAAGACUUCUCUUCCUCCCUAUCUGCUGCUAAAUAUUGUUUUGAAGCCUUACUUCGUAGCAAUUGGACAAAUCUUAAUGAUUCUCAUGUUUAUAUGUUCCUUAACUGCAAUUAUUGGUUUUUUAACCUUUUGUAACAAGUUGCACUUUGGUUUAGAUUUGCAGCUCCAAAAGGAAGCAUCUUUCACUUCCCCUCCCCUAGUGGAAUAUCAAUCCAGGUGAAAGGGUGGGAGUACAGCCCUGGUGAUUUAUAUUACUUCAUUGAGCUCACUCCUCUGUCACUACCCUCUUAUGGUAUUAACAAAUAACAUUUUUUUGAUUAUUAUUUCAUUAAGAUUUGGGGUUCGUACUUGCUGAGACCCCAAAAUUGUUGUCCUAAAAGGACAAAUGAAGUUGUAACUUGUAAGUUUGGUGGAUAUCUUUUUCAUAAUCAACUUUGGAUACUAUAUUUUAUUCAAAUUAAUAUUCUUC